rnacentral:rRNA from 1 species
UACGUAGGGUGCGAGCGUUGUCCGGAUUUACUGGGCGUAAAGAGCGCGCAGGCGGUCGAUCAAGUCGAGUGUGAAAGCCCCCGGCUCAACUGGGGAGGGUCAUUCGAUACUGAUCGACUCGAAGGCAGGAGAGGGUAGUGGAAUUCCCGGUGUAGUGGUGAAAUGCGUAGAUAUCGGGAGGAACACCAGUGGCGAAGGCGACUACCUGGCCUGUUCUUGACGCUGAGGCGCGAAAGCUAGGGGAGCAAACGGG